rnacentral:rRNA from 1 species
CAGCAGCCGCGGUAACACGGAGGGUGCAAGCGUUAAUCGGAAAUACUGGGCGUAAAGGGUGCGUAGGCGGUUAGUUAAGUCUGUCGUGAAAUCCCCGGGCUCAACCUGGGAAUGGCGAUGGAUACUGGCUGGCUAGAGUGUGUCAGAGGAUGGUGGAAUUUCCGGUGUAGCGGUGAAAUGCGUAGAGAUCGGAAGGAACAUCAGUGGCGAAGGCGGCCAUCUGGGACAACACUGACGCUGAAGCACGAAAGCGUGGGGAGCAAACAGGAUUAGAUACCCGCGUAGUCCCUGUCUCUUAUAC